rnacentral:rRNA from 1 species
CGUUCCUACGGGGGGCAGCAGUGGGGGAUAUUGCACAAUGGGGGAAACCCUGAUGCAGCGACGCCGCGUGAGUGAAGAAGUAUUUCGGUACGUAAAGCUCUAUCAGCAGGGAAGAAUAAUGACGGUACCUGACUAAGAAGCCCCGGCUAACUACGUGCCAGCAGCCGCGGUAAUACGUAGGGGGCAAGCGUUAUCCGGAUUUACUGGGUGUAAAGGGAGCGUAGACGGCUGUACAAGUCUGAAGUGAAAGCCCGUGGCUCAACCGCGGAACUGCUUUGGAAACUGUAAAGCUGGAGUACUGGAGG